rnacentral:rRNA from 1 species
GGAGUCUAGCAUGUGCGCGAGUCAUUGGGACAUUACUAAACCUAAAGGCGUAAUGAAAGUGAAAGUCCGCCUAGCGCGGACUUAGGGAGGAUGGGUGGUCGCUAAUGCUGCUGCUCCGCACUCCCGGGGCGUCUCGUUCUCAUUGCGAGAAGAGGCGCACCAAGAGCGUACACGCUGGGACCCGAAAGAUGGUGAACUAUGCCUGGUCAGGACGAAGUCAGGGGAAACCCUGAUGGAGGUCCGUAGCGAUUCUGACGUGCAAAUCGAUCGUCGGAACUGGGUAUAGGGGCGAAAGACUAAUCGAACCAUCUAGUAGCUGGUUCCCUCCGAAGUUUCCCUCAGGAUAGCUGGCGCUCGUCGCACACGAGUUUCAUCCGGUAAAGCGAAUGAUUAGAGGCAUUGGGGUCGAAACGGCCUCAACCUAUUCUCAAACUUUAAAUGGGUGAGAUCUCCGGCUUGCUCGAACUACUGAAGCCGCGAGACUCGAAUCAGAGUGCCAAGUGGGCCAUUUUUGGUAAGCAGAACUGGCGCUGUGGGAUGAACCAAACGCCGAGUUAAAGCGCCUAAAUCGACGCUUAUGGGAUACCAUGAAAGGCGUUGGUAACUUAAGACAUCAGGACGGUGGCCAUGGAAGUC